AUUGAACGCUGGCGGCAUGCUUUACACAUGCAAGUCGAACGGUAACAGGCCGCAAGGUGCUGACGAGUGGCGAACGGGGGAGUAAGGCACCGGAAGGUGCCCAGCCGGGGGGGUUAAUUAUUCGAAGGAGUAGUUAAUACCGAAUACGACCAAUGGUUGAAGGCGGGGGACGGUAAGGCUUCGGGGGUUUGGGGCGGCCGAUGUCAGAUUAGGUAGUUGGUGGGGUAAAGGCUCACCAAGCCAACGAUCUGUAGCUGGUCUGAGAGGACGACCAGCCACACUGGGACUGAGACACGGCCCAGACUCCUACGGGAGGCAGCAGUGGGGAAUUUUGGACAAUGGGCGCAAGCCUGAUCCAGCAAUGCCGCGUGCAGGAAGAAGGCCUUCGGGUUGUAAACUGCUUUUGUACGGAACGAAACGGCUCUGGUUAAUACCCGGGGCUAAUGACGGUACCGUAAGAAUAAGCACCGGCUAACUACGUG
rnacentral:rRNA from 1 species